GCUGUCUGCUAGCUUCAGCUGAGCUGGACCUCUGGACCGUGUUUGUGCUGUUGGAGCCUUUUGGAGCAUUUUAAUGACAUCACGUGACCAAUAGCAUGGCUGCUGUGAGGUCACUGUACUAACAGAGCGUCUGCAUGACAGCCUACAGAUGCGGACUGAUAACUUACAGCUUACAGUCGGUGAAGUUGCUCUUGGGGAAACUGUGCACUGACUCCAGAGUGGAGGGCCAGGCUGGGAGCCCUGACUGUGUCAUACCUGCACAGAAACAUGUGCAGAAAGUGUGCUCGUCUCAUUAGUGAUGAACGGAGACCAGAGCAGUGAGAGAGCAAAGCUGCUAACAGAGGCACGAGCAGCAGAGCCAGAAGCUCCUGAGGCGACGUCUGCUGGUCGUAUCUGCUGAGAGUCACACAGAGGGGAGGACAGCAGGUGGAGCGGCAUAUCGGAGACCGCAGGUUUACUGCACACUGGCGAGAAAAGACGUCGCUUUGCCGGAGUCCCCUCGCCAUCUGCCAACAUGAAAACAAAGCCGGAGGAGUGACAGAAGAAGCAUCCCCAAACUGGAAGGAAGGCCUUAAGAUUAGAAGAUGGUGGAGGCCUGCCCGGGAGUUUUCUCCAUCUGAUUAAUGGACAUUGUUUUCUGCCCCUUGGUGGAAGAAUAAAGAUCUUU